UGGGGAAUCUUGGUCAAUGGGCGCAAGCCUGAACCAGCGACGCCGCGUGAGUGAUGAAGGCCUUCGGGUUGUAAAGCUCUGUGGGGAGGGACGAAAGUGCAGUGGUCGAAUAGGCCAUUGUUUUGACGGUACCUCCUUAGCAAGCACCGGCUAACUCUGUGCCAGCAGCCGCGGUAAGACAGAGGGUGCAAACGUUGCUCGGAAUCACUGGGCGUAAAGCGCGUGUAGGCGGACACGUAAGUCAGAGUGUGAAAGCCCUGGGCUCAACCCAGGAACUGCAUUUGAAACUGUGUGUCUUGAGUGUUGGAGAGGGAAGCGGAAUUCCUGGUGUAGAGGUGAAAUUCGUAGAUAUCAGGAGGAACACCAGCGGCGAAGGCGGCUUCCUGGACAACUACUGACGCUGAGACGCGAAAGCGUGGGGAGCAAACAGGAUUAGAUACCCUGGUAGUCCACGCCGUAAACGAUGAGUACUAGGUGCUGCGGG
rnacentral:rRNA from 1 species